UUUAUUCGGAAGCUUUACUUCAAAGAUGUACUACGUACUCAAUAGAGAGCAUAAAUAUACACCAUAGAAUAAUUUUUCAGCAGCUUGGAUAUCUUCAUUAAAAGGUGAAACUUCACUAUGGAUCAGAAUGGACAUGGAUCCCAACCAAAUGUUAACCAGCAGGUUUCGCUGCCGUCGACUUCCCUGAGACACUGCGCGUCAACACCCGGCCGUGGACGUACACUUCCGACCAUCAG